UCCUGCCACGCCAGGCAUUCCAGGCCAGUCUGCAAAUGGCGUAGGAUGUAUCUCGCUUGUCUUCGUAACAUUCAAAAGUUUAGUUUUUUAAAAUAAUUUUGCGCGUUGUUGGAGAGCCUCCGGGUCCUUCACGCCAAGAAACACAAGCUAGAUACAGUCUCGCCGUUUGCGAUGGCAAUGGGGAGGCCGGCGGGAGUCGCUGUUUCCGUUUCCGAGGAGCUGGAGGAUGCCUGGAAACCGAGACCUCGCGCCGCUGGGCCUGCGUGUCGCUAUGGUCGUGGUUUGUACAUCGUAUCAAAACCAAAGUAUCUCUUUGUUUCUUUUUAAUUUCGUUCAGAUUUUUCUCUAAAUUAUACUUAUAUGAUUUAUAUUGAUUUGAUAGCUACGUUACCUGUAAACUCAAAAGUGGUUAUUGUUUGUGAUUUUUUAUUUGUGAUAUAUUUAUAUAUACAUAUAUAUCAAUUGUGAUUUUACGAAAAUUAUUUAAGACAAUUUAUUUUAUUUAUGAGACUGGGUAACACAAUAAGUUAAAACGGAGAAUUAGUGGAAUAAAAUUGAUGUAUCUAAUCCGUGCUUUAUAUAGGAAGGAGUUUGGCACGUAUGCACACAAAUUCGAAGAGCGUGAGAAUUUCGUCGUGGUUGGAAGGCGUUGUUGUUUUGGGAAAGCGGGAAAAAUUCUGUUUCUAGAAGGUCGAGAGUGGCAGCACCCGGUUUAUUCACAUUGAACACCCCACCUACGAACGUUGUUAUCGUUCUGGAGACGUGUGCUCAGGCGGAAAGAAUCUCCGGUGAGCUGAUCUCCACGUUGCCCAAGUCCCUCAAAAAAGCCCUGUGUUUGAUCAGGUUUACAUCACCUGGCUUCUUCACCUACCGGGUUUCAUUACCAACCAACUAGGAUAAGAGGUACUAAACAUCCUUGCAUGAGAUUUCAAUGGAGACCUAAUCUAGGUUCGGGGACACGUUCCGUCCGUAGAGAGCCUUCGGGCGGGAGAAUAACAAUAUUUUCACAGAUGCGAAAGGAGUCAGUAAUCCUUGAUCCGGAUUGGCUACCAGCGGAAAAUUAAAUCCAAACCCCGAGGUAUUAAUCCCGGAAUAUAAUUGUCAUGGUUAUCAUCCGUAAGUCACACACACCUUUCAUUUCUUCUAUCAAAAGCUGAAAUUGGGUCUAAGUACAACCGAUAUUUUUUAAAGAUAAUUUUUGCUAUUUUAUAAGUAGUUAAUUUCUUUUGAAUUUCUUUCUCUUGUAGGCCAGAUUUUUGCUAAAGCACUACCUUUAUAUGUAUUGGCUCAAAAAUUGGAAAAUGUAUUGCCUGCUUUCGAAAGUAUCGGUUUGAUCAUGUUUUCAAGAACAAGCAUCUUUUUUUCAUAAGACGAGCGAGUUCGAAAAAGAAACGGGCAGGUUAGAUGAGGAACGUGUGCAACAACUUCAUGAGGACGAUCUUCGAAGUACGACUGCACCGGGUAAAUUUAGUAUUGAUUUGGGCGGGCGAGGGGCCAAUAAAUAAUGUUUUAAGCUACAGGAAAGACGAUCGGUACAUCCGGAAAAAGGAGAGACCGGCGGAGGAACUUGCGCCAAGUUACUAAAACAAUUUUUUCUUUAAAAGCGAAAGCAGGUAUCACAACAUGUUGUAUAUGUUUUGGGGUUGUAAAUUGGUUGGGAGGGGGGCCAGGGGGGGGUUGAGGAUUUUCUGUUUUGUGUCUUAGGACAAGAAACCGUCUCGUGCGAUGCAGAUAAUAACAAAGAAAAAUGGCCAGAGAGAAAUAUUUUGCAGAGAAAGAAAGCAGAAUCCCGGAGUGCUUUGUAACAAGGUCUUUUAUAUUUUCAUAUAUUCAGGAAGGGGGGAAUUUUUUUAGUUAAAAUCUGUUUAAGAUCGGAUAGUCCCCAACGGAGAGUCCUCGGCAUUUCGCUCUUGGAAAGAAGCCACGGAAAAGUUUGUCGAGUAAACGAUCUUUACUUCGACGGAGGUACCUUCUUAAAAAUUCUAAAUUUUCUUCUCUGAAGUAUCAGAAAUGUUCUAAAUAACUGAUAACCUGUAGAAAGUAUUUUUAAAUAUUGUAAAGCGGGAUUUCGGGUGUUGGGCAAACAAAAUGUAUUUUGAGUCGCAGGAACAAGAGUGCUUUGAAGCCAGGAUUACACUAGGCUUUACUGGGGAAUUUUCCUUGUAAAGGACAAUCGGAGGUACAGGAACAGUCCCGAUUUAAAGCUACAUAAAAACUAUUUAAUGAAGCCGGAGAAAGGUAUCGAAAAUAUUCACACUAAAAGAGGAAAGGGGUAAUUACAGUCCAUUUGGAAACCUACCAGGGGGGGGGGGGAGGUAUUAACGUUUUUUUCAACAGAGACCGGAACCAACUGAUGGAGCGGUUUCCGAAAGCAUGGUAUUUCUAGUACAUGUCAGAUAAGUAGGAAUUUUGGAAUGCGUAUUAUCAGACCGUUGAACGGUGGAGUUGCUUCGAGAAAUGGCGAUCCCCAUGACAAAUACACCCUCACAAUCACGCACUGUAAGGUAAUGCUACGCACGUUUCAUUGUAUCAUGUACAAUAUGCAUUUUCAGGGGAUACACUGUGGGGAAACUAGUUUUGGUCUAAUGGGGAGGGGGGCUGUCGAUCUUUGUUUUCGCUACAGAGCUUCGACGCACGGAUGAUGCACAACCAUGUUUGGCGAAUGUUUGGUCUCUAGAUGGAUUCAUAAAAGCCGCUAGUGGGCAGCGAUUUUGCUAACUGUGUUUAGUCUUGUUUUGUAAUGCCAGAGGAGCUAUAGUCGAGAAGUAGAGCCUCAAGGUAACGGAGAGCAAUUAAUUGUUGUUUUUUAGACACCAUUUUGCGGCACAGGUAUGGUAAUGGGUAUGGUAAAUGUUAUCGAUUCCUUUUGUAAUGGUAUCUAAUAAUUUUGCUAUGUUAUCAAAAUCCAUUUGAGAUAAUUGUCUAAUCCUUGUUAUAAGUUUUAAAUCUUUUCUUCAUAACGCACAAGCAACUGUAAAUUUUCCAUUGUAAAUUCUAGAGCAUGACUCUAAUUCUUUUCAAUGUCGCCUAUUAGAUGUGGCAGAGAAAUUAACUCAUUCAUUGCUUCCCAAAUUUAAACAGGUCUUUAGAUCGUAAAAGUUGCUUAAGAGACUAACAAAAUGGACGUUUUCACCAAGAAUACUCCAUAAAGAUAAUCAUUUAGUAACCAGCAUUGAAGUAAAUUUGCCUGUGAUGUCGCAAUGGCUGGCCAGUUGCUGGGAAUUCCUUUUCAAAUUCAAGCAUCCCAGAGAAAAGUGUAUCGUAUUGUAUCACCAGCUUAUUUGUGUAGUGCGAAAUUUUAUAACCGUGCGAGAAGAGAAGUAGUAACAAAUUAGUAAAUCGUGCACCAAAUGUUUUUUUUUACAAAGUAUGCAGUUAGCGCAAUUAAAGAGAGUGAAGCUUUGCCAACACAAAUUGUUUAAACGAAUUCGCCAAGACUAUGUUGAAUGAAUUGUUUUUGUAGAAGUGGCUUUGAGUCUAGAACGACUUUGGUGAGUGUACUUGUAUUUCAGUGUGAUGAAUUCAUAUUGUAUAUACCUAUAACUCUAGAUUUAGAUAGUUUUUUUCCACUGUUCUAUCAGUCUACUUAUUUCUUUUUGUACAAGACAUUCUCUGUUUUGUAUCUUUAUUUUGAAUAAUAAAUUACGCUUUUUUGCGGGGUUGGGGGGGGGGGCACUAAUCCAUCAAAAGAUUAAAAGAAUUUCAGGAUCGAGAGGAGCUUAGCUUUCGCUAAUUGAUAUUUCACCCUGCUGGGUCCAUUCGCUGAGGCUGUUGUUUUUAUUUCUAUUUGUGAGUUGCUUCACGAUGAAUUUGACAAACUGAAAACGAAUUUCAAGAAUUACAGCGGAAGAUGACCCAGCAAUUAAGAGAAGAAUAUUAGUUCUAUGUGAAGUUAAAAUUUUGCUCAGUUUCAUUCACUAUACUCGUGCAGUUCAGUUAUGAGAAGUUACCUAUUAUUAAAAAAGACCCAUAAGUUUCAAAAUAUUUGAGUGAUAACAUAAGUUAUGUGAAGUUGUGAGUUUUGAAUUAUUAAUGGAAAAGAAGUUUACAAAUGACUGAAGAUUAGUAAGUGCAGUUAAGAGCCUUUAAAAGGAUCAUUCAUUUUUAUGGAAAAACGUCCAGUAACCUGGCGGAUUUAAAGACAGAGGAACAAAUUUCUGUAGGAGAGCAAAUAAUUCGAGGCUGUAAGUUUUUUUCUUCAUUUUUGGAAUUUUAAUCCACUUUUUUAGACUUGAAAAUCAGAAGGAAGAUGAUUAUUGAUCAAGAGACUACAAAUUCAAGAAUUAAAUAUUGACUAGAUCAUUAGAAGAUAGGAAGCACUGCAAUUAAUUACAUAAAAGUUAAAUUCUUUUUUGCGAGAAAAAAAGUUUCAUUAAUCAAGAUACUUCAAAAAUUAAGGUUUAAGUUUUUUCUUCUCUGCAUCUUUUCAACAGAAUGUUUCAGAAAUUAAAAAAAAGAAGUUAAUUUGUUAUGAAAGGAAGAGAAUUGCGUCUGUUUAGAAAAAUAUGAAAAAACCUACCAAGAAGAUAAAUUUAUGAGUGUAAAAUUCGAGGAUAGGUCCUUUUUCUUUGGUGUUUUAAUCAGUUGUUUCAGAAAAUCGACAAAAAUCAAUUUUAACAGAAUGAAGAUUCCAAACUCUUAGCGACUAUUAACUGAUUGUUUUAAAGAAAACAAGAACUUAAGAAAGCUAAUUAAUGAGUUUGAGGGAAAAGAAUUUCGAAAGAAACAAGAUUAGACAAGAGACUUCGUAACAAGAAUCGUGAGUCAACUUUCUCUGUUUUUUUCUUCUAACCGAAUGUUUUAGAGAUCAGCCUAAACAAUCAACUGCGUGUGAAGAGCGAAACCUUUUCUUAACAAGUAGAUAGUAUUGCAACCUAUUCAGAAGAUAGAAAACUGAGGAGUAAUGAUGUGAGUUUUUUUUGUUGCGCCCCCCCUUUCGUGUUUUAACCCGAAUGUUCUAGAAAUUUUCGAAAUAAGCCGAUGCAAAAGGGCUGCGCCUGCGGUCCACUGGUGUCUUCCAACUUUUGGUCGUCGACCUCGAUUCUCAACGUUCUGCGUCUUCAGCGAUCAACUUUGGAAGGGAGCUUCCUUCAUCGGUGUUGGCUCUUUGGCAGACCUCCUUCGUUGUCCAUCUUCCAAAGUCGAUCUUCACGAUCCUGGGGAAUGGACUUCGCGGAUGUGCUCCAGGAGUUUGGCCGUGGAAGAUCUUCUGAAGGCGGAUCCACCCUCGCUUUCUCUAGAGUCCCAUCUAUCCACAGGGAGGAUUUGGUCGGUUUUUGUUCAACUGCGCGAUUAAGGCAGCUCUUGGUGUUUUUGGCAUCCCGUUUUUCAGCAUGAGCAGAGUUCCAGCAAAACAGCGUCCGUUCCCAUUUUUAAAAGAAAUUUUUCUUCGAGAUCUCUGCGGGUGUUAGGAUUCUACGCGAUGCGGCUUCGGGGACUUUGGGUGCGGUUCUUUGCGAGGGAAAUUGCUGGUCCUUCUCUACAGGACAUUCUGCUUCUUAGACGCGAAUCAUCAUAUUCAUCUUCUCAUGACAAAAUUUAAAGAAAAAAUUUGGAAAGAGAUUUAAUUAAUAAUUAAAAAAAAACAAUUAAAAAAGGAAAACAUAAAAAGAUGCAAAAAAUAUUUUAAAAAAAGGAUUGAGAAAAAAAUAUACCAAAAGAAAAAAGACAAAAUCUCAAAAAAAAAAAAAAUACAAAAUACAAAAUUAAAAAAAAAAUUUUUUUAAGAAAGAAAUAGGGGCUUUUUAGGGGGGGUUUCAGGUGACUGCAGCGCAGAAGAGGACUGACGACGGCUGGAAGAAAGAAGAUUCGACGCGUGAUCCUGGGACAAUAAAAAUCUACGAGGGAAGGAGAUGAUUCGUGGCGUCGUCGAGGGAGAUCGAGGGAUUUAAAAUCAGCAAAACUGCCUCGGGGGGCCGAAAAGCUUGAACGGACACCUAUUUAUAGCAAAACUACUACACAUCAGCAAAUAGAAAAAUUCAUAAACUAUAAUCUGAAUAGUUUAAUUCUUAUAAUCAUAUUAGAAAGAAAAUCAAAAUAUUUCAACAAGUAAUUUCAAAAAAUGAACUUUCUGCUGAAUAGAACAGCAGCAUUGUAAAAGAUAUUCAAAUUUAUUCUAGUGUGUAUUUUGCAAUUUUAAUGUGAAAUACCUUAUGAUACGAGUUUAUCUACGUGUCUAAUUUUAUUUUACGAGACUACUUCGAAAAGUAAUUUAAAAGUGAUCGUAAAAUGUUGACAAAGACUAAAACCUAUACUGAAUGUGCGAACAUUUGUAUUUAAAAAACACGUUCUCAUAAGAAAUUUUCUAAAACGAUCUUGUUAGUCAUAGAAGUGUUUGUAGAAUUACGAAGUUUUUAUAAGGUAUUAUUAAUGAAUGUUUUCAAAUUGUGCAAAAAAAAUUCUGCAUCAACGUGAAAGAAGCUUCAGAAAUUACGUAAUGAUUAUCUGUAUAGAAGUCUCGUUCGUUGCUUUUUUUAUUUUUUAAAAUAGGAAUUCACUUUUGGACGUAUGAAUCAAUUUCGAUGCGAGAAUGUUUUUGAUCCGAAAAUAUAAUUUCGAGGUUUUGUUUUUAUAAGUACGAAAUCUAAUAUUCAUCGUUGUUGCGUGUACGUGUAACUGCUUUAAUUUGGGAAUCUAUAGAUCCAUUUCGAUGUUUUUGUAACGCGAUUUUGACUCGAUUCUAUAGUAGUUAAAAUGUCGAUCUACCAAAAUUUUACUUUUCUGAAUACGCCUACUUCAGCAAUGGUAAAUCGCGAUUUUCGUACACGUUCGGAGAUUUGUGAACGAAUUUAUUUUGAAAUUUAGAUUCAUGCAAUGUAAACGAUUGAUGCUUGAUCCUUGAAUAUCUUAAAUGGUUUUUGAAACUAGUGCAAUAUACGGGGUUUUUGUUUUAAUUGCAUCAAUUGAAAAUUCUAAAAAUAGUACCAAUUUGGCGAAUUUGGCUUCAAAAGCGAAGGACUUCGAUGUUUUGAAUGAAUAUGCGGAUUUUAUGACAUCGGCGGGAGACGGCGGCGUGGGACUUCGGUGGACCAUUGACUGCUGCGAGGGACACCGUGGGAUAUCUGUUGUAAACUUUUUUUGGAGUUUGGUUUUUGAACAGGAGAUACUUUUUCAACUUGACACUGGAAUUUUAUAUUAUAAACGAGAGAAUAACAAAAUAAAAGUUAGCAUAUAAUAAAAAAAUAUUAUAUUGUCAAGAUUUCAAAAGUAAAGAUAGAUCAAUUAAUUGCCUGAUUAAUUUAUGGGGAUAAUACUACUUUAUCUUUGAUGACUGGUUAAAUUAAAUUUCCUGUUGCUUUUCAAAAUAAAAAUUAUAAAACUUAAUAUCUUGAAAAAAUGUCAUUAUUUAUGAAAUUUGAAAAGUGUAUGUGAAGAUGUUAUGAAUAAAUAUUAUAGAAACUGAUUAAAUGAUUUCUUCAAGUAUGAUUAAUUGCACAGUGUGUGUGUAGGCGCGUGAAGAAUGAAAUAGAUUUUUUAUCUAUUCUUUUAAAUUUCAGAGAUAUAAUAAAUGAUUAAAAUAAA